UACACUCUGGAAAUGGAAGGAAGGAGAAGAUCAUGUUGUGAAGACACCCAGACGCUGUCCACAUGGCUGGAAGAUGUACUGCAAUCGAUGCUUCCUCUAUCUUUCCCAACCCCGGUCUUGGGCUCAAGUUCAGAAAAACUGUAAGCAAAUGAAGGCAAACCUUGCAUCUGUACACAGCCACAGAGAGCACAAGUUCAUUCGGAGUCUGAUAUUUCGUGCCACUCGCCAUAGUAAACCUACAUGGCUCGGAGGCUCAGAUCCAAAAGCGGUAUACAUCCGGU